GCAAACUAUAAGGGAGAAAAGUAGACACAAAAGAGCCUUGAAAAAGACAUUAGAUAAACUUUCUCAUCUGUAAAAUGGAGCUAAUAACACCUUUGGGAAGAUCAAACAGGAUCAUUUCAAGUAAACUGCUAUAUAAUUGUUAUAUAAGGGAAAAUGAACCAACAUUGCCCUUAGGGAUGUGCGAAGUUUGGUGUGUCAGUACAGGAGGAAGAAAAGAUAAACUAAAACAGAAAACAUCAAAAGAAAAGAAAACAAUAAGUUAUGUGAAGGCUCCAUGAAGAAAUGAACAAAUACAGAAGAGAAUGAAGACCAGAAAUUUCCCAAGUUUCACCUCCCCUUUUUGGAAGGACCAA